rnacentral:rRNA from 1 species
UACGGAGGGGCGAGCGUUAUUCGGAAUUAUUGGGCGUAAAGGGCGCGUAGGCGGCUUGGUAAGUCAAAGGUGAAAUCCCUCAGCUCAACUGAGGAAUUGCCUUUGAAACUGCCUGGCUCGAGGCCGGGAGGGGGUAGCGGAAUUCCCAGUGUAGCGGUGAAAUGCGUAGAUAUUGGGAGGAACACCGGUGGCGAAGGCGGCUACCUGGACCGGUUCUGACGCUGAUGCGCGAAAGCGUGGGGAGCAAACGAG